ensembl:lncRNA
GAAUCUCUGAGGGGAAAGACUGGGAAUGAGGCUGACCAAACCCUCCAGGCUGGCCAGCAAUUUGGUGCAAUUGUUGAAAUUCUUGACGUAAUCCGGGUCUGCACUGGUUGGUGGUACCAUUCCAGCUCAGUGAGUACCCUCUGUGGAGGGCAUAGUUCUAGGCCCUCUGGGGAAGUAUAAAUUAGUGGCUAGAGAAAAAGACUGGCUGUACCGUGGAUCCAGUGACAAGUAUGUCAAAUGCCAAAGAAAGCCGAUCAAGCAAGAGCUGGUAAAACUUCACAGCUAGCCCCAUGGCCUGAGGCAGCAAGGGCUGGAUUCCUGAGCACCAACUUUGUUUGUGCAUGUUCAGCUGGAGAAUCAGGUAACAGCUGUGAUGCUCAGAAUGGAAAGUGACGUGUCCGGGGUCACAUGUCUGGAGAGUUGGAAGAGCAGGAAUGGAGGUCAUGCUCGUUUGACUCGGUGUUCAGUGCUCACCCAGCACACCUGCUACCUUUCCCAGCAAGUCAGUCUCACAAGGUUAUAUAAUCCAACUGUAUGACUGACUGCCCCAGACCCUGCCUUCCCAUCCAUAGGUGACUCCCCUCCAGCUUGCUGUGUUGGAGAGUGACUUAACUUUGAGUCCAGAGUAUGAAUUCUGCAACCAAACUGCCUGGACUUGAAUUGUGACUCUGCUACUUACGUUAGCUAUGCAAUGUUGGGCCAUAAAACUUCCCUACGCCCCAGUUUCCUCAUCUACGAAAUGGGAACAGUGGUAUAUUUACCUGUAGGGAGUUAAGAUUAAGCAACAGAAUAUAUGUAAAUCAUUUAGCACAGUGUCUGAUGUGCAUAGCAGAUGUUCAAUAAAUGUUAACUGUAUUAGUCAAUAGCUGACCUUUUAGAAACAAAAACAGAAAAACCCUGGCGCUGUUGUGAAACAUACUGUCUGAUGCUUCAAAAUUUAUUUCUGAAGUAUUUCCAGGUGGGGAAGCCAAUACUAAAAUCCAAACCUGACAGGUUUUAGGAGUUUCAACAACAUGCUCUGUAU